rnacentral:rRNA from 1 species
UGGCCUCGGAUCAGGUAGGAAUACCCGCUGACUUA